CGCGUAGGCGGAUUAGUCAGUCAGAGGUGAAAUCCCAGGGCUCAACCCUGGAACUGCCUUUGAUACUGCUAGUCUUGAGUUCGAGAGAGGUGAGUGGAAUUCCGAGUGUAGAGGUGAAAUUCGUAGAUAUUCGGAGGAACACCAGUGGCGAAGGCGGCUCACUGGCUCGAUACUGACGCUGAGGUGCGAAAGUGUGGGGAGCAAACA
rnacentral:rRNA from 1 species